CCCCCGCGCGUUGCGGAUUAAUUUAAGCAAUAAAAUUCCGUUUCCAAUAGCAUGUGACAGUACUAUGAGUCACCUUAAGCGAGCUGAAAGACAGCAAUGGUGGAGUGCUGCUAAAAGCAUUAAACCUUAAGGAUUGAAGCAAUAGACUUGAUGUUAAAACUGAAAGCAGGGAGGAUAUUAGUCUGUACCGAUGAACAAGAUGAGCUACUAUAGUAAGAGAAUAUCUGAGCAUAUAUUCUUUAAUGCAGUUGAUUUCCAAGGAAGAGUGUAUUUGUUGAUUUGGCAUUCAACGAUUGUGAUUAAUAAAUUUACGAUACUUUAUUUGA